rnacentral:lncRNA from 1 species
UAACACCUUCAUGAAUCAAAAGCGUAGCGUCACCACCAUCAUCAACAAUCAGAUCAGGACCACCACCUGGACCCCAAUCAAGAGCACGUUCCGUACACCACCAAUACUCCUGAAGCGUCUCACCUUUCCAGGCGAAAACAGCGGCGGAGUCACGAGCGAUUGCGGCGGCGGCGUGGUCUUGAGUGGAGAAGAUGUUGCAAGAACACCAUCUGACUUCAGCACCGAGAGCAGUUAGGGUUUCGAUGAGUACGGCGGUUUGGAUCGUCAUGUGAAGAGAUCCGGUGAUUCUAGCGCCUUUGAAUGGUUGAGAUGGUCCGAACUCGGUACGACAAGCCAUGAGUCCAGGCAUCUCAACUUCGGCGAGCUCGAGUUCGAGACGACCGAAAUCGGCUUGAGACAUGUCUUUGACCUUGUAUUCACGGCCGCUUGAGGUCUUCUCGACGAGCAACGCCAUUUUUCUAGAUCUGAGAUUUGAAAUCGAAGGAGGCAGAGAGAGAG